rnacentral:rRNA from 1 species
AAGUUGUUGCAGUUAAAAAGCUCAUAGUUGGAUCUUGGGCUGAGAUCAACCGGUCCGCCUUCAUGGUGUGCACCGGCCGUCCCGUUCCUUCACCCGACGAUGCGUUCCUGGCCUUAACUAACCGGGUCGUGCCUCCGGCACAGUUACUUUGAAGAAAUUAGAGUGCUCAAAGCAAGCCUACGCUCUGAAUACAUUAGCCAGGGAUAACAUCACAGAUUUCGGUCCUAUUGUGUUGGCCUUCGGGAUCGGAGUAAUGAUUAAGAGGGACAGUCGGGGGCAUGGGCAUUCGUAUUUCAUAAUCAGAGGUGAAAUUCUUGGAUUUAUGAAAGACGAACCACUGCGAAAGCAUUUGCCAAGGAUGUUUCAUUAAUCAAGAACGAAAGUUGGGGGCUCGAAGACGAUCAGAUACCGUCCUAGUCUCAACCAUAAACGAUGCCGACAGGGAUCAGCGGAUGUUGCUCUUAGGACUCCGUCGACACCUUAUGAGAAAUCAAAGUCUUUGGGUUCCG